rnacentral:rRNA from 1 species
GGCGGCGUGCUUAACACAUGCAAGUCGAACGGAACUCUCUGGAUCAAGACUUCGGUCAAGUGAAUUUGAGUUUAGUGGCGGACGGGUGAGUAACGCGUGAGGAACCUGCCUUCAGAGGGGGAUACCAGUUGGAAACGACUGUUAAUACCGCAUAACAUAUCGAGAUCGCAUGAUAUUGAUAUCAAAGAUUUAUCGCUCCGAGAUGAGCUCGCGGCCGAUUAGGUAGUUGGUGAGGUAAUGGCUCACCAAGCCGACGAUCGGUAGCCGGACUGAGAGGUUGACCGGCCACAUUGGGACUGAGAUACGGCCCAGACUCCUACGGGAGGCAGCAGUGGGGAAUAUUGCGCAAUGGGGGAAACCCUGACGCAGCAACGCCGCGUGAAGGAUGAAGGUUUUCGGAUCGUAAACUUAUGUCUUCGGGGACGAGAACGGACGGUACCCGAGGAGGAAGCCACGGCUAACUACGUG